CCAAGUCGGACUCGCCGCAGUGCCGGUGCAUGGACGCGGCGCCCGGCGGGUGCCACCCGGCGUGCCGGGACUGCGUCAAGUCCGCCCUCGCCGUGCACCCGCCCGUGUACCAGUGCAUGGACCGCGUCCCCAACUUCUGCCAGCGGCGCUGCAGCGCCAUCGCCGCCCACUGACCGGCCAGCUGACUGCUGACCAACCUCCCACCCCACCUACCGCCACCGGCGACGGACGAAUCUUGAUGGCAU
rnacentral:lncRNA from 1 species